rnacentral:misc_RNA from 1 species
GAAAUGCGAUACCUGGUGUGAAUUGCAGAAUCCCGCGAACCAUCGAGUCUUUGAACGCAAGUUGCGCCCGAGGCCACUCGGCCGAGGGCACGCCUGCCUGGGCGUCACGCCAAAACACGCUCCCAACCACCCUCAUCGGGAAUCGGGACGCGGCAUCUGGUCCCUCGUCUCGCAAGGGGCGGUGGACCGAAGAUCGGGCUGCCGGUGUACCGCGCCGGACACAGCGCAUGGUGGGCGUCCUCGCUUUAUCAACGCAGUGCAUCCGACGCGCAGCCGACAUUAUGGCCUCAGAACGACCCAGCAAACGAAGCGCACGUUGCUUCGACCGCGACCCCAGGUCAGGCGGGACUACCCGCUGAGUUUAA